rnacentral:rRNA from 1 species
CAGGUCUUGACAUCCCUCUGAUCGGUCUAGAGAUAGAUCUUUCCUUCGGGACAGAGGAGACAGGUGCUGCAUGGCUGUCGUCAGCUCGUGUCGUGAAAUGUUGGGUUAAGUCCCGCAACGAGCGCAACCCUUAUCCUUUGUUGCCAGCGGUCCGGCCGGGAACUCAAAGGAGACUGCCAGUGAUAAACUGGAGGAAAGUGGGGAUGACGUCAAGUCAUCAUGGCCCUUACGACCAGGGCUACACACGUGCUACAGUGGCGCAUACAAAGAGAAGCGACCUCGCGAGAGCAAGCGGACCUCAUAAAGUGCGUCGUAGUCCGGAUUGGAGUCUGCAACUCGACUCCAUGAAGUCGGAAUCGCUAGUAAUCGUGGAUCAGAAUGCCAUGGUGAAUACGUUCCC